GGAACGGUCGAAGUAUCUAACAACGGAUUCCUUCCCCCCCUCUCUCUCCCUCUCAAGAAUGAAGCAUUUCCUUGGAGUGGAGACACCGCCUUCGCCCUCCUCUAAGGUUACAGCUUCCUCUCUCUGAUAUAAACAAACAUGCCCUUUCGCUGCAGGAGAAGAACUUCCUUCACUUUCAAACUUGCCGCAGACCAGCUCCACUCAAAAAAGAAAGUCCAAUGGGAUGUCUCUCUCGCCAGACUGAGUGUGGUGGGUGUGAUUGAACAGCAGGUUCAGCAUUGCUCUGCCGUCUCACAGUCAGAUUAUUUGAACCAUGCCUGGAUUAGUUUGUCAUGGACUUCUCAUGACAUCUAGGAUGGUUUCUUGUAGAAACUAAUGAGAAUGUAGAGGAUGUUUACAGCGAACCAGGGAGUACAGUACUUGUAAAUGUUUGCAAUCAAAGCUUCAAUACUGAAAAUGACUUUAUGUGGUUAAAAGGGAGCUCACAAAUAGUUGCACGAUACCGAAAUGGUUCUAAAGUGUAUGGAAAAUUUAUCAAUAGAGUUGAAGCUUUUUCAAAUGGCACGCUGAAAUUUAACAUCACAACAAAAGAUGAUGAAGGAGAAUACAAAUUCGAAGUACAUAACAACGAGGGAAAACUUCAAUGCAGUCGAGAUUUUAAAUUGCAUUUACUCGAGAAACUAUCAACACCGGUAUUGAAUAUUACUUGUGUAUCUGAGCGAGAUGUGUUCAUGUCAUGUGAGGUUCGUGGAGGGAUUCCAUUUAACUUCUAUUUGAAUGACCAAAAACUUACUGAAGACAAUGCUGUGUUUUCAUCUGAUGGAAAGAAGGCUACACUGAAGAAUUCUACCUCAAUAUUUGGCAAUAAAACAUUCUUUUGUAAAAUUGAAAAUCCAGUUAGUAAAAUCCAGACUGCUCCAAGAGAACUUACCUGUGCAGGUACAAAAGAAGGUCAUCAUUAUGUGCAGGUUAUUAUUGUUAUUCUGGUGGUAGUGGUUGGACUGAUUAUUCUUGUGGGCGUGGCAUAUUGUUUUUUUCAGAAAAGUCUUUAACAUCAUCUGGAAGACAAGGGGAGCUGGGAAUCAGUGAAGAAGUGGGCAUUAAAAUGCAAUUAUGCAGUGCAACAAAGUGGACUGAGGGAAAAAAGUCUAUUUGAAUAAGCAACUGACCUGCAAGAUUUUCAAGUGUUUGACUGGUGGCUUUGCAGAAUUAAAUACAAUCAACAAUCCAUAAAUGUUUUUUCACAAUUGAACAGAACCAUCUGGUACAUCAAUUUGAGUCAUGGAACUUUUGUCUGUUUUGUAAACUAAUAUUACCCUGUUUUAUUUUUUAAAUUCUUGUUUCUCGAGAUGUUCCACUCAAAGAUUUGAGAAACAGAUGUAAAGCUGUGCACUCAGCAUGAAAUUAUUAUUGCAAGGUUUGCUUUGCGAAUGCCUAGCCACUGAAUAUUUUCUGAGAGGACAUGACUCUCCUAAAGGUGGCUGUGCCUGUAAAGCCUGAUUUUCCUUUGUACCCAUUUGUGUGUACAUUUAGCUGUCCCCAAGCCCAUUACUUUGAUUGCGUUUCUUUCCCACUUCUCUUGUCAUUUUUCUCCUUGCUCAUCCAUUUCUAAGAAAUAAUCAUGUUGUUUCUUACCUCUCCCCUCUUGGGUACUUUUCCCCUCUGUCCUUAUUCCAAUCCAUUUCUACUCUGUCUCUCCAGGCUUGAUUUUUCUUGGAUCAAUUUAAGACAUCUGUGCAUCUCUUAGCAUUCUGGAAAACUCGCUUUGUGGCAUCCAUCACUGCAUCCUUGUAAGCAGCAAUCUUAAAUUGUCCUCCCUUCCCAAUUAGGUAAGGUCAAUGGAUAUCCUGUUACACUUCCCCAAAUCACCCAAAAUCUCUCUGUAUUCUGUAAACAGAAAAACAAUCAAUAUAUUUCUCUGCGUUUCUGGUUUGAAUAUGUAUUCACUCAAACAAGGAUAAACCAUCUACAAAAAUACUGUGGAUAAUUGUAUUAGCAUUAUGGCUUUUACUAAAGUUUGGCUUAAAUGGAUUCUUACUGAAGCUUCACGGCUGGUGAAACAUUCCAUAUCUGGCACAGCCAAACUUCCAGAGUAUGAUAUGUGGGCAAAGCACAUCUCGAUCUCUUACCCCUUUCACUUUGUAUAAAUUCUUCUUUGAGCAUUUCUUCUUGUUCCAUCUUCUCACGAUGAUUUUUCUUCAUGGUACAUCAAAACCACCCUGAGAUGUCAUCCCUUCUUUUUCCUUGGUAUUUGCACCAGGUGACUUCCCAUCCUCAAUAAUUUUGAUCUUUAUCUUAAUUCACCUUUGCCUCAUUUCAUCCUCCUAUUCUGCAAGAGGUAUGAGGACGGGUGAUGAGUUUCUUCUUCAUGAAAUCUUAUAUUAACUGUUCAGUUCCCUCUGCUGCAUCCUCUCCUGUCCUUUUUUAUAAAAUGAAAUUCCUGGGUUCCCCUCUUGCCUUGCAAUGAUUCUGCAUGUUUGUCUGGUGCCUCUCCUAAUACCUGAGUCCAUCUGAUCUUUAAAAUUCACUGACAGCUUUUGGUAUCAUUCUCACACUCAUCUGCUGAUCCCUAGUGUUGGCUGAUGUUGUAAACUAUCUAUCUCUUCAAACAGGCCUAUUUCUCAAAAUUACCAUCAUCAAUUUAUUCAUUCAACAUUUUCAUCAUUACAAACUACCAUUUCAUUUCCUUUUGUUAUUCAAAGUCCCUAAAAGCAUUGUCACCUCUGAAAUCUGUGUCCACUUUAUCAGAAUCUUUGGAGAUGGCACCCUGGAAGUGAACCAAUCUCCUGGAGGAAUGUGCUGCCCAAAGUAACUGAAGUUGUCUAAAUGUGACCACCCCACUGAUUGACCGAACAUCCAUUUUCUAAAUUUAGAGCAACAGGUCCAUUCAGCAGGUUCACACAUCAUUAAACAAAGAUCAAGCAAUCGCAUGAAUUAAGGCAGAACACAAGUAUUAAUUGAAGAGGCAGGAACCCAACUUGCAGUUAUGAUAGUUAUGAAAAAUGCACAAUAUUGAAAUUAAAUGGAAAGGCAAAGGUAUAGGUAAUCUGUUCCUUGUGACAGCUAUGGGGUACAAUUGCAGUGUCUCUGUGUUUACAGUAAAACAAAGAGUGAAAGAAAACAGAAACUGUAGUGUGAGAAAGCUCUGCACAAUGCUGCCUAUCAACUUGGAGCUGGAAUCUUCUGUUCUUUUCAACAGGAGCCUAUCUGCAAGUGCACAGCAUCUCUGAGCUCAUGUUCAGCAAUGUCCUCCUAUAUGCCACCCCAUCAAUGUCCAUGUGAGUUCUCCAUAGCAGAUGUUGUUUACAACAUCACCCUCCAGUGAGCAGGAAAACCAUUCUUUAGCCUUGGCCUAGGUGCAACCUAAUCAUGUCUAAAUGACUGACCACACACUUUAUAUGAGCUUCCAAUGUAGGUGCAGUGGCAGUGUCUGGGUGGGUGACUGUGAGAGUCAGCACCAAUGGCAAGGCCUCUAUGCCAGUAUUAUUCUGUUAUUGUUUCUUUCUCCCCUUGUUUGCUGGUGCUAGGCAGCUACAUGUUUGAAAGCAAGAAUGAGCAGAGAAGGUUGUGGUAACAGAGGUACAGGAAUGGGUGUAAAGCAGGUAACUUCAUCAUCAGACCAAACAGUAAGCUGGAGAUAUGAAAACAUUAUAAUCAGAAAAAUACCACUAUCCUGAAUGAUCAAAUUAAUGCUGGUUAAUCUCUACCAUGAUGUAGAGAGUUAUUUCCUCCACAGGACUCAGGAGAAUCAGAGGUCCAUGUCCCCCAUCAGCUCUGCUCCUUUUCACUCUGUGCUGUCUUGCCCUCCUUAGGAUAGGGAAGAACUCUAGUUGAAGCUGUUUUUUAGUGAGUCACCCUCUGUAACUGCAGUGCUGAAGGUUGUGGCAGUGAGAGAUUGGCGUAAGGCUACCAGGCUUGGUAACUGUGUGACGAGGAAGUAGAGCAUUUGGAUGUUAUGUUUGGAUGUUAUAUGCCAGGGAGUAUUGCUGGCUGAGUGUUGGGUGUAGUGUAUUGAUCAGCUUGAGAUGCCAGUGGAGACAUCAUGAGAAGAUAGAUCUGUUGGUCUUGAUCAAUCAUGUAAGUUCUGUGACACCACUGCAGGUCCUUGAGUCAGAGGCUGAGAAUUGACCAGGCCACUUCUUCCCAUUCCCUUCUGAAGGUUGUGCUGAGGGCCUCUUGCCUCCAUUUCAGAACCAUGAGUGCCCGAGUGCCUCCAGUACCAAAACCAUGACUUUGGGGUCCUCUAUCUACCCUGAUGUUCCAUUUUUUGGGCUUUGAAGUGCAGCAAUAGUACUCGCCACCAAACUGCUAGAUUCAGUGGCACUCCCCUCUGAGAGAUAGACCAUACCAUGUGCCUUCAGUGAUUGCAGAAGCAGUUAGCAGCAUGAUAGACAGCGUUAUAUUUUUACCAGAUAACCGGGGUGGAAACUUCAAAUUUGUGUGCUGCCUCCCUUCACUGGGACCAGCAUCGGGAGAAGUCAUCGAUUAUGAACCCCAAACACAAACCUAUUUUUACCCCUCCAUCUUGUUGCUUUUUGUUCCUGUAUUGCAUUCAACAACCCUAAUUAGAGUUCUAAAUAAUAACUGCUGUGUUUUUGUUCUCCUCAAACUCAGUGAAACCUUUGAUGUGGUUAAUAUUCUCCAAUGCAUUUUCUCCAUUGUUGCAGUCAACAGAAAUGGAGUGGGUAGCUCACAGCUUCAACUAGACAAGUCUUGUCACCUUUCUUAUGGGUUCUUGCAUUCCUCCAAGACUGACCUCUUGCAUAGCACAAAAGUGUAAUGGUGCAGCAGGAGGCUAUUCAGUUCAUCAUGUCUAGGAGAACAGGAACGAAGGGAGUCAGUUGAGUCCAUUCAACAUGAUAAUGGCUGAUCAAACACAUUUAUAUAUUCCCAUAACCCUGAACUCCCUGAAUCAGAAAUCUAUCAGUCUCUAAUUAAAUGUAUAUAAAGACUGAGCCUCCAUAGUCUGCUGUCGUAGAGAAUUUGAAAGGUUCUUAAACUCUUGAUUAAUAAUAUUUCUCCUCAUCUUGGACCUACAUAGCAUCCGUCUUAUUUUUAAAUUAUGCCCCCGGUUCUAAACUCCCCCACCAGGGGAAACAUCUUAACUGCAUGUACCCUAUCCAUCCUUUAAAUAUUUUGUGAGGUUGAAUGAGAUCACCUUGCACCCUACAAAACUCGAGAGAAAAAAGGCCCAGUUACGAACUUCUCUUCAUAGGUCAGUGAUGCCAACCCAGGGCCAAAUUUGUGACGCUCUGACACACUCCCUCUGUGAUAAUAAUAUCUUUUCUGUGUUAAGGAGACUGAAAACUGCACACAACACUUCAUAUGCAGACAAGUCAAACUUCUAUACAAUUGAAGCAAGACUGUCUUCUGUACUCAAAUCCUCUUGUGUUAAAGGCUAAUGUUCUAUUGACAUUACUAAUAGUUUGCUGCAUUUUUUUUUAAUUACUUCACAGGAUAUGGGUUUUGCUGACUGGGCUGGAAUUUAUUGCCCAUUCCUAGUUACCCUCGAGAAGGAGGUGGUGACCAUGCAUUUUGGCCUUCAGUAACUUAGUAACAAGGAAACCUAGGUCACUUUGUGCCCCUAUACUUUUCAUUUAACAAUAUUAUCCAUGUCUGUUUCUCCUACCAAAGUCAAUAACCUCACAUUUUUCUAACAUUAUAAUUUAUCUGCUCAUUCACAAGGACCCUCACCAGCUUUUACAGAUGCACCAUAGAGAGCAUUCUAUCCGGUAUGGUAUGGCAACUCUCUGCCAAGGACCAUAAGAAACUAUUAACUUUCAGGUUGUGUGCACAGCCCAGACCACCACAGAAGCCAACCUCUCAUCCAUGGACUCUAUUUACACUUCUUGUUGCUGUGGAAUGGCUACCAACAUCAUCAAAGACCCUCCCACCCCGGUAAUGUUCUCUUCCAACCUCUUCCGUCAGGUAGAAGAUACAGGAGCUUGAACACACAUCAAUGGGUUCAAGAACAGCUUCUUCCCUGUUGUUAUUGGACUGUUGAAUGGACCUCUCUAACUCCAAAUAAUGGUGAUCUCACUAAUGUUGAUCUUGCUUUGCACACCUCCUGUGCAGUUGUAAUCUUGUAUGCCUCACUCUAAGCCCCCUAUGAUUUGUAUACUGCUCACAAAACAAAGCUUUUCAUUGUACUUAGGUACAUGUGACGACAAUAAAUUAAAUCAAAUCAAGUCAAAAUCAUCUUGAAGCCAUGUUACAUUUUGUUUAUAUUCCAUAUUUCCACUUAGCUUUGUAUCAUCCACAAAUUUGGAAAUGCUACAUUUGGACCCAGACUGCAAAUCAUUAAUAUCAGCCAAAGCCCAAGUUCUGAUUCUUGCGGUACCCCACUAGUCACAGCCUGAAAAUGCAAGGAUUUUUACUACACUCUGUUUUCUUUCCUCAUUAGUUUCCACAGCUUCCUUUACCCCUCUCUGACUGAGAGGCCACGUCAUUAGUUUUCUAGGGUAUAAUAUUGGGAAUUCCCUCCCCUAACCUCUGUAUCCCUAUCUCGAUCCUCUCCUUGAAAGCACAGCAUAAAAUCUAAUUCUUUGAGAAAGCUCAUGUUGUUUUGUCCUAAUACUGUUCUGUGUGGUUUGGUCAAGUGAAACUGUGAAAUGUUCUGGGACAUCUUAUAAUUUUAAACAGGCACUAUUCAAAAGCAAAGGUAAAAAACUUCCUUUUUUUAAAAAACUGUCCCAAUAUAAGAAAGGUCUCCCAAGCCGAUCCUUACGAAGACCUUUCAGUUACUUGUCCCCUUCUGGGUCACCCUGAGUUUAAAAAAAAAUCAAGUAAGUCACUCUUCUCUGUUCUGAAUGUCAGAAGAUGAAAUCUUAACCCAAAUUAAGGUGGGAAAUAAUGUACUGAAUUCAACUUUUUGAUCAAUCUUGAAUUUAUUUGUUCAAAUUAUCAUUGAUCCCAGAGCUGCAGUUAGGAAACCUUAGUUGUGUGAACAAACUUGUUGUUCAUUAUAAUCCAAAGUAACCUACCUAUUGGAAUUGUGAAACUGUUGUUGGUACUUAUCUGCAACCUGUUGCAUUUAUUUUCUUGACUAUUAGAUUCUUCAUUCUCUUUUACUUUUCAUUUUUCAACACACUGGGUAUUAAAUAUUUUGUACUUCCUGUUAAAUAAAUAUAAAAAUGCACAAUACA